rnacentral:rRNA from 1 species
AGAAUCAACGCUGGCGGCGUGCCUAACACAUGCAAGUCGAACGCGGUUACCCCGCAAGGGGUAACUGAGUGGCGAACGGGUGAGUAACACGUGGGUGACCUACCUUCGAAUGGGGGAUAACGUCCCGAAAGGGACGCUAAUACCGCAUAACAUCCUGCUUUUGAACAGGUGGAGAUCAAAGCCGGGGAUCGCAAGACCUGGCGUUUGAAGAGGGGCCCGCGUCCGAUUAGCUAGUUGGUGAGGUAACGGCUCACCAAGGCGACGAUCGGUA